UUUCUACUCCCUCUGUUUCGAAUUACUUGUCGCAGGUAUGGAUGUAUCUAGAUGUAUUUUAGUUCUAGAUACAUCCAUUUCUGUGACGAGUAAUUUGGAACGGAGGAAGUAUAUG
rnacentral:pre_miRNA from 1 species